UUCACUGGCUAGCUUUAUGUGGCAGCACCUUAAAGCUGCCAGUUGAAGAGCUGU
rnacentral:pre_miRNA from 2 species